rnacentral:lncRNA from 1 species
CUGCACUCCAGCCCGGGUGAUGGAGCAAGACUCUGUCUCAAAAAGAAAAAGAAAAAGAAACUGGACUUUUUGUCUCAGAACCAUAGGCUCUUCAAUGCAAAGGGAGCCAUUGCUGAUUCCCCAUCAGUCAGGCCUCAGGUCCAAAUCCUUCUGACAGGCUGUGUGACCGCAGGUGGGUGAGUCCACCUCUCUGGGCCUCAGUUGUUUGUUUGUUUUCUGUAAAUACAUCUGAAGCUCUGGGCAUGCAGCCUGGAAUUUUAUGGUCUUGGAAUUUAAGAAUCCUUGCCUUAGAAUCAAAGGAUGCACAAAAUAGUUUGAGAACUCUGAAGUUCUGGAAGCUGACUCCUCAAAGAUGAGUAUCUCAAGGUAGGAGGGGGCUUUUUUUUUUUUUUUUUUUUUUGAGAUGGAGUCUCGCUCUGUCACCCAGGCUGGAGUGCAGUGGCAAUAUCUCGGCUCAAUGUAAGCUCCGCCUCCCGCGUUCAUGCCAUUCUCCUGCCUCAGCCUCU